AUUGAACGCUGGCGGCAUGCUUUACACAUGCAAGUCGAACGGUAACAGGCCUUCGGGUGCUGACGAGUGGCGAACGGGUGAGUAAUGCAUCGGAACGUGCCCAGAGGUGGGGGAUAACGCAGCGAAAGCUGUGCUAAUACCGCAUGUGAUCUGAGGAUGAAAGCGGGGGACCAGGCAGCAAUGUUUGGCCUCGCGCCUUUGGAGCGGCCGAUGUCAGAUUAGGUAGUUGGUGGGGUAAAGGCCUACCAAGCCGACGAUCUGUAGCUGGUCUGAGAGGACGACCAGCCACACUGGGACUGAGACAUGGCCCAGACUCCUACGGGAGGCAGCAGUGGGGAAUUUUGGACAAUGGGCGCAAGCCUGAUCCAGCAAUGCCGCGUGCGGGAAGAAGGCCUUCGGGUUGUAAACCGCUUUUGUACGGAACGAAAAGGCUCUGGCUAAUACCUGGGGCUGAUGACGGUACCGUAAGAAUAAGCACCGGCUAACUACGUG
rnacentral:rRNA from 1 species